rnacentral:lncRNA from 1 species
AACUGGAUACACAAUAUUCAUUAUUGACACAACUUAAUUGAUGUAAACACUCUAGGAAGCAAACAUUGAUUUUUCUCAGGAAUUAAUUGGAAAUGAUCAAUUACUCUAUCAGAAUAGUGGCACCACCUCAUUAAUCAGACGCUCAUUGUCCUGGUAGGCUAAGGAUGCCCUUUUGACUUAGGAAUAUGCUAGCCCUAAGGGAAAGAGCUGAAAUCAUUACAGUGAUGGCCGUCUCCAGCUGUCUCUGGGAGCGUCAUUGUUCUUAAUACUGAGGUUGGGGUUUGACUUAAAAGGAGCUCACCAUGUCUGAAAGUCCUAUUGUGGCUCUAUCCUUUUACACAGGGAGUGAUAUGAAACCCAACCUGAGAUAAGUUCCAUACACAAUGACUGUCAUGUCCAAAGGAAACCUCAGUUCUCCAAAAUCCAAAAGUCUGUCCAAAUAGAAAAAAAAAAAAGACUUAUUUUAGCAGAUGGGAACUGUUAUCACCAGUUCAUUAGAAAUAUUGGCUUUUCCCCAACCACCAAAAAUCUUCCUAUAUUCUAGGUUUGAAAUCAUUUCUAAAUAUACGGGCUGCCUUUUGGAGUUUAGUGAAUCAGGGUUUCCUAUGGACCUCACUGUGACCACAGGGUAUAGGUCUAGUGUGAAAACUGAGUUUGCAUUUUAUAUUUACGUAGAACUUACGUAAUACAUACACAUAACACACACUGCAUUUCUGUAUAAUACAAGGUUCUGACAAAGUCUGAACACUCAUGGUAACCUAGAACCUAGGAUUUCCUCUGAAAUUGACUACCACAAUUCAUACUAAAAGAGAACGUGUUCCAAAGACACAUUCAUCUCUGUGUUCAUAAUAUCCAUACCUUAUGAUACCAUAUUCAAGUGGCAAAUAUUUACUCAUCUGGCAAGCACUCUCACUGUGUUGUGAUUUGAUGUUCUAAACAUUAUUAACGUCCAAUCUUCAUAAUAAACCAUCUUUGGUUUUGAAGUGAUCUUGCUGGGUUGCACAGGAUGACCUUGAUCUCAGGGCUGCUUGGCCCAGUCUCCUCAGCAGCAGGGAUUACAGAUGUGCGCUGCCAUGCCUUGUUUAUGAUGUAUAUGUAUGUAUGUUAUGAGCCAAGUAUAUUUUAAAGACUCUAUAGAGAAAGCAGAAUGCAAAGAACAGGUUUGUUUUAGGUCAAUACUGGGCCUGUUAAUUCCAGUGCCUGCUCCAUGAUCUCUCAGAUGGUUGUUGAAAUAUUCAUUACUUCACUGAGCAUUUGACAUAAUAUCAAUAAUUUUGGUAAAAUAUUCUGUGGGAGGUAAUGCAUAUACUUAGAGUAUUGACACAGUACCCACAGGGAUAUAAGCUUGUGAGCUGUUAGUUUUCAGUGAAGAUAGAUGCAAUGUCAGGAGAAAAUGGCCAGAUUUCUUUACAAGUCCCAGACAUAUUCAGUACCUUAAAAACCUCUGAUGUUCUUUUUUUUUUUUUUUCCAUUUUUUAUUAGGUAUUUAACUCAUUUACAUUUCCAAUGCUAUACCAAAAGUCCCCCAUAUCCACCCACCCCCACUCCCCUGAUGUUCUUUUUAAAGUAGACCUCACAGAUGACCCCAGCCAGACUCUGUAGGACCCUGAACAAAAAUCAAGGCAAGUACAAGAAAGAGGUUUGUUGGGAGCAGAGUGGCUGGUAGGAGAGGAAGGAAAGUUGGAGACGGUGUAGAAUCCACAAUGCACAUGUAUGAAAUUGUAAAAUAACAAAAUCUACCCAAAAUGAUAACUGAAUUUGACUCUGCACCUAAGCUUUAAAUAUGUUAAUGAUUAAAAUUUAAAAUAGCAAACCAUGU